rnacentral:rRNA from 1 species
UACGUAGGGGGGCAAGCGUUGUCCGGAUUUACUGGGCGUAAAGAGCGUGUAGGCGGCCAAGCAGGUCCGUUGUGAAAACUGGAGGCUUAACCUCCAGACGUCGAUGGAAACCGUAUGGCUAGAGUCCGGAAGAGGAGAGUGGAAUUCCUGGUGUAGCGGUGAAAUGCGCAGAUAUCAGGAAGAACACCCGUGGCGAAGGCGGCUCUCUGGGACGGUACUGACGCUGAGACGCGAAAGCGUGGGGAGCGAACAGG